CAAAUGCUUAACAUUUCCCCUCAUGGUUCAGACUCAGUUUUCCAUUACUCAACCUGAAAACAAGAUAAUGAGAGCAAUCAAGGACCAGGCUCCAUGGAAGCAAGAGAUUCUGUAUUUUGCUCACCACCUUAGUGCUUCGAACAAUGCCUGGUACAUAGCAGAUGUUUAAUGAAUAUUUGACAGGUCCUGCAUGUCUGUGAUCCCAAUGAGUCACCACCAGGGAAUGGAAUCUCGGGUGUAACUUGCAUUUUCAGACUCCACAUCAUCCAAGAUGUACC